GGGCUCACAAGUUUCUUCAGCUUUAAAUUAACCACAUGUGCCACUCUGCAAUGAAAAUUCCAUUUAUCAAUUAAUGAUUAUCUCAUCAGUAUAUAGUACUCUUCCCCACUUAUUUAAUACCAUUGUCUAUCACUCUUUAAAGUCUUCCUCCUCCAAAUCAAGUUGUUAUGAUUCCUUUUUUGACCUCUUCUCUUUCUCCAAUAGGAAAAAAACUGAAACUACUUCCAAAACAUAUCACCCACUUACUGUUAUCCAACAAGUCCAUUAUUGCAUAAGUCAUAUCCAUGAUUUGAUAUGAAUAGGCUUUCACAUUUUAACCCCCAAAGAAGUAAUAAGAGUAACUGAAGACGACAAAGAGGAACUGAAUUACAAGAGAAAAAGGACAAACCCAUGAAUAACCAAACACUAAGUUUUGAUUCCCUUCUUAAUGUCAUAGUCCCUACUUUGGUGAUCUGUCGUUUUCCUUCUUCAAUUAUUAAUAAAACUAUGUUUAAUUCGCCAACCAUCUCGG